rnacentral:lncRNA from 1 species
CGAAGAAGGCUGAUUUAUACAAAACAAGUAAUACAACACAACAUCUGUGUCUUGAGGAAAUCAUCAUCAAUUCAUGCAUUUCUCAACGAAUCAAAUGCAAAGUCAUUAGAUUUAUGCAAUAAUUAAAAUUGCAACAGUUUCUGUCCAGGUUUUUUUUUCAUGGCACCAUCUAGAGACAGCCACCCCUCAGUGCAAGCACAAGAUGCAGCACAGAGCCACCCUCAAUAUUGUAGUCCCGCGCUGUCUUGUCAUCUGCAAGUUGCUUCCCGGCAUAUAUAAGCCUGUAACAAGAGUCAAGAUAUGCAUUAAAUUGACAAGUCAAGAACCAGAGCACUAAGGUUACAGUCAAACAGGUCAUUUGGACCAGAUAUAUACGACCCUGAGACCCAAUCAUGUCUUACCUUUAUGGAGUAUAAACUUUGAAAUACCUUUCUGAUAAAUUUGGCAAUAAUUAAACAAUAUACCUAAGGGCAUCUGAUAACAUAACAUUCUUAAGAUUCAGUGUUACAUGGAAGUGUAAAAUCAUCAAAUUUUGAAUCCUGUAUGUAAAAGAAGUUGUGAAUAGUCUCUCUACACCUUUGGAGAAAUAUGGUCAAUAAGCACCCCCAAUAAGUUAUAUUAGCCAAUGGAAAAUAAACAAGGAUAUCAAAUCACAAUACUAACGAAGAAGCAUGUCAAUGAUCAAGUAAAUCCGAGAGAUGCAUUCAGUACAAUGCAGAAGAACAAAAUUGGUACCUUUGCUGAACUGGAGGAAUUCCUUCUUUCUCUUCAACCCGUUCCUUGAUACGAUCAAUGGUAUCAGUUGGUUCAAUGUCAAUUUCAAUUUCUUUCCCGGUGAGAGUCUUCACCUUGAUCAUGGUUCCUCCUCUAAGCCUUAAAACUAGGUGAAGAGUGGACUCCUUUUGGAUGUUAUAAUCAGCUAGGGUUCGGCCAUCUUCUAGUUGCUUACCAGCAAAAAUCAACCUCUGCUGAUCAGGAGGGAUGCCCUCUUUAUCCUGGAAAAUGUAGUUCAUUGUCAGCACAGUAACCAUGAAGAGAGCAUUAUGUUCAAACAAUGUCCUUUUGGGAGGAUACAAAUAGAUUGAAAAUAAAAUAGCAGAUAUAAAAGAAAGGUAAUAAUGGAAGUAGUCUUUUUUCUUAAUCAAUGGAAUAGGAAGCUUUACAAGUAUGCAUAACCGACAGUGCUAGCAGAGUACAAAAGAGUUGAGUAUGGUUUAAGUUUAUUUUAGCACUCACAUCUUCUAAAGGAAUUGCAAAAUUGCAUGUAGUCAAUAAACCAAUUUUAUCCAAUCAUUAAUGAAGUGAUGAUUAAGUAAAUCUAAAAUUAAUCAACUCAGGGGAGAAAGCGGAGCACAUAAAAUAAAUCGGCCAGUCUACUUAUAGCCAAUUCAACCAAUAUGGAACUUGCUUUAUCAUAAAUUCACUUCCACAAUAAUUUCUACAAAUGGCAACCGAUCAAAUUUUUGUAAUUUUCAAGUAUCCGAUUUCAUUUCGGCUAAACUCAAAACCCAAGUUUGUUUAUUUUUUGCUCACCAUCUAUAUCUGCACCUGAAUUCAAAAACAAUAUUGGUCGUAAUUCCUAAGUUGCUAAAUAUCUCAAUUUAUUAUAUGAUAUUUAAAUAAUAAAAUUAAAAUAUAGCUAAAUAAGUAAAUAAAUAUCAGGUCAGAAUAUUCGAAUACAUUAUCCGCAUAAAUAUAGUAGAUCAUGCUAAAGAAGUAGGAUAUUAGGGCACUAAUUGAGCCAAAAUCAAAGCAAAUUCAGGUAACAUAUAUCCAAUGGUUCAUAUCCGAAUUUUGCUUCAAAUCCGCUGCAAAUAGUAGACCCAAUAUCUGAAUCCGCAGAAAAGCUGGAUCACAUAGUGUCAGAUCCAGUGUUUUUUAAACUACACAUUGUCAUCCCUAAAUUAAUUUCCAAGCAACUUUCACAGAAAUUGCUAAGUACAGCAUAAAAGAAGCAGGAUUAGGCGUCAAUCUUCUCUAAUACUAAGUUUUCAGUUCCGUAAGAGGAAAACAAUAAACAUAAAAAAGGAAAAAUCAUACAAUAAAGGAAUCAUUCACGAAGAACAAAUUAAACUCCUCUAAAAUUAAGUUUGCAGUUUCGCAAGAGGAAAAUAAACUAAAAUAAAAACAAUAGUGCACGGAAACAAUAGAUAUUGAAGAUUAGAUUAUGUUUAACAUGAUGGAUAAGAAAAACAAAACCUGAAUCUUGGCCUUGACAUUGUCUAUGGUAUCACUGCUUUCAACCUCGAGAGUGAUAGUUUUCCCUGUUAGGGUUUUGACGAAUAUUUGCAUCUUCUUCAGUUACUGCAAAACAGUAAGGCAAAUGUUGUUAAAGAUUAUUUUCAUGAUUGAAAAGCAAUCUUUCUUCGGCUGAAAUUUUUUACCUCUUUGAUUUUCAGAGACAAAACUCUGUUAUUUGGACGUUGAAGAAACGCCAGCUUCUUUUAUACUUCUCAAAUUGGGUUUUGGACUCUCCUUUGGACUUAGGCCCAAUUUUAUUUUUUAACAAUAUCUGAAUUAAUAAAAAAAAUAUUAAAUUUAAAUUACUAUUAUUUCACAUUUUAACUUAAAGCAUAUUAUGAUUUUGAUAUGAAAAGGUAAAUUAAUGAUUGAAAGAAUAUAUUAUUUAUCUAUAAUCUAUCAUUUAUAAUAUAUAUUAGAUAUAUUAUAUUAUAAGGUUUAAAACUCAAAAUUAAUUAAAUAGUUUACUUAAUUGGCACAUGAAUAAUUAUUAUUUUUUAACAAUUUUAAAUAAAUAAAAAUUAAACUCUGAGAAAAAAAUUUACGUAAGAAAAUAAAAGCAUAUAAUUUAUUAUAAAGAUAAAAAAAUAUUAUCUUGUAUCAUUAGAUUUUUAAAAAUUAUCAUUAUCAUUAUAACUCAAUUUAAAUUUAAUUUUAUUCAAUAUUUUAUUUUUAAUUAUUUCAUUAAAUUUAAAAAAUUAUCAUAAAAUAUAUAUUUUAAAUUUUAAAUUUAAGAUACAUAAAUAUAUAAUUCUUAAAAUUCUAAAUAUAUAUAAAUGUCCACAAUAAUAUAAAAUUAUUUUAAAGAAUAGUAUUUUAAUUUCUUUAUUUUUAACAUAUCUUAUUCUAUAUUCUUACUUUCAAUUUUUUUUUUGUAUGUGGCAUCUAUUCUUUUAUUUUUUUUAGUAUUAAAUUAAAAAUAAAUCAUAUUUUAAUAUAAAGAAAUACGUACAUUACAUUUGCGACAAGUGGCACAUCUACUAUAUUUUUAUAUAUUAUUUAAUUUUUCAUUAUUCACUAUAUUAGAUUUUUCAAAAUUUUUAUCAAUAUACUAUCUAGGAUUAUGUUUUAAAAAUGUCAUUUAUUUAUUUGAACAUUAAUCUUAUUAUAGAUUUUUAUCAUAUAUGCUCUUUUUUAGAUAAUGCCUAAAAUUAGGCAUAGCCUCUCCCUCAACUCUUACAUAGGAGAAUAAUACAUUUCAGCGCAUUCAAACCCACAUCCUCUGACAACAAUAUUGAUGCACGUCAUUUAUUAUCUUAAAUAAUUAUUCAUAGAUUUGGUUGAUGGUGGGGAUUAUAUGUUUAUAAUAAAAUGUUAAAUUUGAAUUUUAUUUUAAAUAAAAUAGAAACAAAUUAAGGUGAGGUAAACCAAAUAUUUGAAAAUAGUAGUUGUAUGCUUAUAAAAUCGAAAUAUUUUGUUUUACAUUGCUAUAAAUCAUAUCAUAAAUAAUUAGUGUUUAAUUUUAGUUUAAAAAUUGAAAUAUAGAUGUAGAUAAACAAAAAUACUUUCGUAUUAACUUAAAAGUAUAUUGCUAAGUUUUAGAAAAUAUUUGAUAAAGUUGAUCAUAAAUGUUAUUAUAUAAAAAAGGUAUGGACAUAAAAGGUAAUAAAGUUCUUCUAAGUCGAUACUACAAUUACCAAUGCUGAUUGAAAAACCAGAAAUGCAUCUUCCAUGCAUAUCUCUAAUUACCCCCUACAGUCACAAAGUUCUUGUCUCGAAACCAACUUUCAUCUGUAUUUUAAUUUGCACCACCCAUCAACCGGCUAAUCUCAAAAAAGAAGUUCUUGCUUGAAUCUCGUAAAGCUUGAUGCAUCAGCACAAUGACCAUAUUCUUCCAGUAAUUGCAAAUAAUCUCAGUUUUACAAUUACCAGGCGGGUAAAAAUUGGCAAAACAAAUCUUGUUUUUCCAUUUGCAGAUUCUCCUGCAUAUGACUGCGAAAAUGAAUAGCCAAUGCCACUCCCCAAUCAGCUUGGAUUCUUCGGCAAAGGCAGAAAAGGCACGAACAGGGAUAUCUCUUAAAAUAUGAAGUACCUCUCACAUAUGACCACGAACUAAACAACUCUCGUUUUUUGGCUAAAUUUCUUGCACGCCUGUUAACAUCACCCAAGAUUCUCUUUCCAAGCUAACCACAAGAACAAUUGCACUUUUAUUAACAAGGAAUAUUCCGUAUAGCACAAACAAUGGGAUUUACAACCCAAUUAUUCCUGAUUAGCAUAGCGUAGGUAGAUCGAGUUGAAAAGAUGUCGUUGGUAGAUUCACCCCAAAUCAAUGUGUCUUUGAACAUUGGCGCUGAGCAGACUCGGACUCAGUCCAAUUUGACCAAUGACCUCAUUCAGCAACUAUCCAGCAAGAGCUUGAAAAAUUCUGACUCAUUUAUGAAUCCUGAACGAAGCUAUUUAUAGAAUCAUGAUGCGGAGGUUGAAUACACUUAUUGAUUAAUGGACCUUCAGAGAUCCGAUUAUCGAGCCAACUUAUACCUCGUCUCCUUUACCCACACUCUAUCAAAGCCCAUUAGAAAGAACUUGGCGCCCUGCAAGAAUUAUUUUCCAAACAUGUGACCUAUCCAGGCCUUUAGGCACAUCAAAGAAAGAAUCUCUUCGAAGAUGUUUAGCCUGUAGAACCCAUAAUACUUAGGCCUGAACUCAGCUUAUUUAGGUAAAUGCAAUGUCUCCCAGCUGACCAAGUGAAUUCCCCUCUCGUCGUAAGAACCCCAAAUACAAGCUCUACAAAUCUUGUCAGUGUGAUCACAAACAUCAAAGGGAAGCUGAGCCAUCCGCAUAAUAUAAAGGGGACUAGGAGCCGCAUCCGGCUUAGUCAAAACAACCCUCCCAACAAGAGAUAAUUUAGUAAUUAUCCAUUUGGCGAAAUGGACUUAGACCUCCUCAAUAAGAUGCCAAUUAGUCGCUAUACUAUCGUAUCAGAUUGUGCGAAAUCAUACGGUACCUUGCUAAUUAAAGCCAAUUAGACCCUUUUUUCCGACUUUUUGACAUACCCUCACGAGUUUGCGAGGCCAUCCAAAGAAGGCUGAUUUAUACAAUCAAGUAAUACAACACAACAUCUGUCCCUUGAGGAAAUCAUCAAUUCAUGCAUUUCUCAACAAAUCAAAUGCGAACUCAUUAGAUUUAUGCAAUAAUUAAAAUUGCAACAGUUUCUGUCCAGGUUUUCUUCUUCUUUUUUUCUUUUUUUUUAUAUUGCACCAUCUAGAGACGGCCACCCCGCAGUGCAAGCACAAGAUGCAGCACAGAGCCACCCUCAAUAUUGUAGUCCCGCGCUGUCUUGUCAUCUGCAAGUUGCUUCCCGGCGUAUAU